AGCUUUGAGCAGUGGCAGUAUCGUAGCCAAUGAGGUUUAUCCAAGGCGCAAUUACUGCUAAUUGAAAAUAUCCCUUU
rnacentral:snRNA from 1 species